GACGAACGCUGGCGGCGUGCCUAAUACAUGCAAGUCGAACGAACCGCGACUGAGUGCUUGCACUUGGUCAAGGUGAGUGGCGAACGGGUGAGUAACACGUGGGUAACCUACCUCAUAGUGGGGGAUAACAGUCGGAAACGACUGCUAAUACCGCAUAGGACAUGGAAUCACAUGAUUCUGUGAGGAAAGGUGGCGCAAGCUAUCGCUAAGAGAUGGACCCGCGGUGCAUUAGCUAGUUGGUAGGGUAAGGGCCUACCAAGGCGAUGAUGCAUAGCCGACCUGAGAGGGUGAUCGGCCACAUUGGGACUGAGACACGGCCCAAACUCCUACGGGAGGCAGCAGUAGGGAAUCUUCCGCAAAGGACGCAAGUCUGACGGAGCAACGCCGCGUGAGUGAAGAAGGUCUUCGGAUCGUAAAGCUCUGUUGUUAAAGAAGAACAGCGCAUAGAGUAACUGUUAUGCGUGUGACGGUAUCUAACCAGAAAGCCACGGCUAACUACGUG
rnacentral:rRNA from 1 species